rnacentral:rRNA from 1 species
AUUGAACGCUGGCGGCAGGCCUAACACAUGCAAGUCGAGCGGAUGAGGGAAGCUUGCUUCCCGAUUUAGCGGCGGACGGGUGAGUAAUGCCUAGGAAUCUGCCUAUUAGUGGGGGAUAACGUUCCGAAAGGAACGCUAAUACCGCAUACGUCCUACGGGAGAAAGUGGGGGAUCUUCGGACCUCACGCUAAUAGAUGAGCCUAGGUCGGAUUAGCUAGUUGGUGAGGUAACGGCUCACCAAGGCGACGAUCCGUAGCUGGUCUGAGAGGAUGAUAAGCCACACUGGAACGGAGACGCGGUCCAGACUCAUACGGGAGGCAGCAGUGGGGAAUAUUGGACAAUGGGCGAAAGCCUGAUCCAGCCAUGCCGCGUGUGUGAAGAAGGUCUUCGGAUUGUAAAGCACUUUAAGUUGGGAGGAAGGGUUGUAAGCUAAUAUCUUGCAGCUUUGACGUUACCAACAGAAUAAGCACCGGCUAACUCUGUGCCAGCCGCCGCGGUAAGAC